UGGGGAAUUUUGGACAAUGGGCGCAAGCCUGAUCCAGCCAUGCCGCGUGCGGGAAGAAGGCCUUCGGGUUGUAAACCGCUUUUGUCAGGGAAGAAAUCUUCUGAGUUAAUACCUCGGGAGGAUGACGGUACCUGAAGAAUAAGCACCGGCUAGCUACGUGCCAGCAGCCGCGGUAAUACGUAGGGUGCAAGCGUUAAUCGGAAUUACUGGGCGUAAAGCGUGCGCAGGCGGUUUUGUAAGACAGAGGUGAAAUCCCCGGGCUCAACCUGGGAACUGCCUUUGUGACUGCAAGGCUUGAGUGCGGCAGAGGGGGAUGGAAUUCCGCGUGUAGCAGUGAAAUGCGUAGAUAUGCGGAGGAACACCGAUGGCGAAGGCAAUCCCCUGGGCCUGCACUGACGCUCAUGCACGAAAGCGUGGGGAGCAAACAGGAUUAGAUAGCCCUGGUAGUCCACGCCCUAAAACGAUGUCAACUGGUUGUUGGGAAGGUUCCUUCUCAGUAACGUAGCUAACGCGUGAAGUUGACCGCCUGGGGAGUACGGCCGCAAGGUUG
rnacentral:rRNA from 1 species